rnacentral:tRNA from 1 species
AUUCCCUUAGUAUAGCAAUACAGAUGGCCUCCAACCAUCCGACCUUGGUGAAAUCCCAAGAAGGAAUA